ensembl:lncRNA
UUUGGAGAUAAAGUAACCCAAGUGUCUCAGCAGACUUUUCCAAAAUGAAGACACGCCAUCUACUCCAGCGCAUACCGCACACACGGAGGAAUUUUGCGAGGUCAGAGAUCUUCGUGGAGCCUGGGACACCGGGGGUUAACGCCUGUCCCUGGCAGCUGAGCAGCCCCACAGCUGCCAGCAAUUAGGCCGGCUGGCAGGCCCCUUAGGAAACUCCUGCCGCCUGAUGAGGACUAAUUGCUAGCCAGCAUGUAAGUCCCGAUCGAUAGAAAUGGAAAUCCAUUAGGGAAAGGCUGGGCAGGGACACCCUGCCUUCUGGCGAGCGUGCACGUCCGUGGAGACGCCCCGUAUUGACUGCGUGCUCCGAACGCGCUCCCCGUGCCCGCGUUACUGGACAGUUACGCUGAGAAGGACUCUCGUGGUUUCCCUUUGACCCCAAAAGAGAGUCUUCUUUACCCCCUGUUUUGGUCUAUAACUGAAAGAAGCCUGUUUCUACCAAGAAUGGCAUGACGACAACCGUUCCUUGGGGAUCCAAGCAAUGUGUCGGGGGAGUGUGCAGAGGGCACAUGCCUGGGCGCCUCGGACGCUUGGUCCAGGUGUGGGCUGUGGCUGGGCCUUCGAGUGCGGGCGGUUCUUCUGUAUUAGGGAGACUCGUUCACAGACUCAUUGGCAGCUGCUGAAAAAACUUACUUCAGACCCUUGCCAGUUUGAAAUUUGUGACCGGGUGCCAGAGAAGAUGGCAGUGUUCAUGGGAACUAUUUCAACCAACUGUAUGCUGGUUCUGAGAAUACAAAGAGGUGUAAGAUCUGGGACUUGCCGUCAAGGGAUCCUACGGUCUAUGCAAGUUCAAAAAAAGGAGAUGACAGAAGGACUAUAUAAACUGCUUCUGAGAACAAGAUAGGAUUUUUAACACCACCACGACCACCAAAUUUUAAUUGAUUUUUUUUGUCAAAAAUGAACCACACGCUCACAUACACACGGAGUUUUGAGUUUUAACCUAUUUUGAAAUUCAAACAUAUUGUAACGAAAUGUGGAUUGUAUUAUUUGAGAAAAUACAUUUGUGAGCUCACUUUAGGAUAAGUGCAGCAGAAGGCGAACAGAAAAGACUGCAGCUGGAAUGACCUGGAUUACGCUGUGCGGUUACAUCUCUAAGGAGACAAAUUAGGAGAGACAGCGGACAUCAUACUCAGAGCUGGACUUUGGGGAGCUCUGCUCUCCAACAGACGUCGCUUUAUGGAGCCCUUCGAAACCCUCGAGGUAAACGGAAUUUGCGUCCCCCUCACUCGAGGAACAGGUGCGAGGUGAGGCUGAGAGGGGCCAUGGGAACAGAAUCCGCUUGCCCUGAAGCCUUGCGCUGACACCAGCAGGAAUAUGAACGUGACGUCUUUGAGUGUGUGCUUCUGGAAAGCGUCUCAGUGACAGGACUCAGAACAGCAUCUUGGCGAGGGCCAACACAGGCACCGUGUCGGGAAAAAAUGUUUCUAUCUAGCCCAGGGGUUUGUAUCCUGUCAGAAGUGGACGGCCACAUUCUUCUGGUAGGGCUCACACUUAAACAGAUCUAUGUUUGAUUUAACUCAACUUAUUAGUUAUUGUUCUUGGGUAAAUUACUUAAUCUCUGGAUGUCAGAUUGUCACUAUUAAAAGAGGAUACUGUUGGCAGAAGGUUGCUGGGCGGGUUGGGAGGGACUAUAAAAAAUGCGUCUAAAGUAUCUCCUACACCUUUAUGUCAUACCUCUUCCUUCACCAUGCUUAGUGGUAACUCGAGGGAAAGUGGUAACCAGGAGAAGCUUUAGCUUGGACAAUGAAUGUUUGAAAGGGAGAAACGGAUGUGAGUGGUUGCGGUUGUAAGAGGCAGGUGAGAUGAAGGGGGCACGGAAUUUGCCGCGCCCAUAGGCACAACCAUGCUCACUCCCAGCCUUGUUAAGACCUAGAAGUAAAGACAUUGCCGUUGUGUGACGUGUCUGCCACCUGUGGCAAGUCCGCAUCAAGCCUACUUUAGUCCAAGUCCAAGUUCUCUUUCCUAGACUGCCACUGUGUUCUGAAGUGGUAACGUAGAAGGCUUUCAUUCUGCCUACUCAUAUUCUCUGGGUACUCAUUCAGUAUGGCAGUAUCACCUGAGGCUGUUCCUCAGGACUUGUGGAAAGCAAAGAAGUAUGAGGCCAGCUGAGGAGAAUUUUCUCGGGGAGAUUCCCAGUUCUUAUUCAGAUGCGUUGUUCCUUAUGUCAGUGCAGGAGUGCUCUUAGCUUUUUAUUUUUUUCCUUAAUAAAGACAAAAUAAAGAUCACAGUGCAAACUCCUCACAAAGCUUUCUCAGUCUUAGGUAACCAGGGGCGCUCAUCAGAGGCCUAAAAUUAACCCAGGAUCUGUGCUAGAAAGUACUUACUUAGCGGAAGACUAUUUAGUGUUGUUCUUUCAUUCUUUUUGUUUUUCUUCAUUAUCUCACAUUAAAACAUAUUUGAAAUUUAUAUUUGGAGCCAGAAUUUUAAAAAGCAUGAAGGAGUUUCUCCAUUUGUAUGUUUUGUAGUGUGGUUGGGAGUUCUUUUCCAAGUGAAAAUCAGCAUACAAACAGUCCUCUGGUUGCCAUCCUCUGAGAAUUCCAACCUUCCAAAUGGACGCAGCCACCCUGUGGGACGCAGCUUCAGCUCGGUCUUCCAGCCCGACGGCUGCAGUCAGACUCCGCCAUGGGUUUAGGUAAAGCCUUGACUGUGAUGGGAAAGAUCCAGCAUUGUUUCAUGUGCAUGAUCUCAAAUGCAAUGAGUUCCUGUCUGGGGAGCAUCGGAUACUUCACUUCCUAGUCUUGCCCCAUUUUUCCAUCACACGUGUCUUACUAUUGGAGAGGAAGGGGGCUGAGUCCUAUUUUGCGUGGGUGACAUAACAGGGACACCUGGUAGGGAGAAGGCACAAUGGCCCUAUGGGCUAGAACGCAAAGAAGAGAAAGAGAAAAAGAGUUCCAGGAAGAGGGGAGAUCGUAGGGCAGCUCCGGGACGUCUGAAAGUCCCAGAUGCUCUGAGGCAGUGACGAUUCGACUGCAAACCCAGACCAGCACCAGCGGCACCACCUGGGAGCUCGUCAGACACAGAACUGCAGGCCGCCCCCAGACACGGAAGCAAAACCCGCAUUUUGACAAAAUGCCCUGGGAAUUUGUAUAUGCAUUAAAGUUUGAGAAGCACUGGUGAAAACAUCAAGAGUUUUAUCCUUUUAUGCCAUAAUGAUCUUGCCUUAUUCAGGACUUUUACAACAGAGUCACCCUAAAGUGUUCCUGGACUGAGGAAGCACUUGGGAGAGGGUUCAUGAUCACAUGGGGUAACGUGGUCCCAGAUGCUGUCCCUGUGUCAGUACUCAGCUUACCUAACGGCUCAGUCAAGGAAUAUUUCAUAAACUCCUGUGAGCAAGGUCCCAAGACAUGUGUUAUGGAGGAUAUAUAGCCCUUAUACAAAACCUUAAUUUUUGUGACGGGGAGACAGGCUGUCUUUACAAUAGGAACUAAUUCUGAUAUCAUCCUGGUAGACUCUAGCCCAAUACUCUGAUGUGGGAGACCUUUUCAGGCUCCAGCAAGCUGCCAUGAGAAAUAGGCAUGUUGCCUCAAUAAACGUUUCACUCAACCAAAUGUAAAAUGCAUGUAAUUAUACGGAAUUCGAUUCGUUCUUUCCCUGUGCUCAUAUUGCUCUUCAUUAGAUGAAUCAAAUUUAGAUACUAUAUUGAAAAUUCAAGAGUAGUUUCAGAAGCUCUCUGCUAAAGAAAUACAACUAGAACUUUACGCAUAGUGCUAUCCAAAGG